UACGUAGGGCGCAAGCGUUGUCCGGAAUUAUUGGGCGUAAAGAGCUCGUAGGUGGCUUGUCGCGUCUGCCGUGAAAGCCCAUGGCUUAACUGUGGGUCUGCGGUGGAUACGGGCAGGCUGGAGGCUGGUAGGGGCAAGCGGAAUUCCUGGUGUAGCGGUGAAAUGCGUAGAUAUCUGGAGGAACACCGGUGGCGAAGGCGGCAUUCUGGACCGAUAUUGACGCUGAGGAGCGAAAGCCAGGGGAGCAAACGGG
rnacentral:rRNA from 1 species